rnacentral:rRNA from 1 species
GUCCACGCCGUAACGUUGGGCACUAGGUGUGGGCCCUAUUCGACGGGUUCCGUGCCGUAGCUAACGCAUUAAGUGCCCGCCUGGGGAGUACGGCCGCAAGGCUAAACUCAAAGGAAUUGACGGGCCCGCACAAGCGGCGGAGCGUGUGGCUUAAUUCGAUGCAACGCGAAGAACCUUACCUGGGCUUGACAUGUACGGUAAAGCGGGUGAAAGCCCGUGUGCUUCGGCGCCGUACACAGGUGGUGCAUGGCUGUCGU